rnacentral:rRNA from 1 species
AGUGAACGCUGGCGGUAGGCCUAACACAUGCAAGUCGAACGGCAGCACAGUAAGAGCUUGCUCUUACGGGUGGCGAGUGGCGGACGGGUGAGGAAUACAUCGGAAUCUACUUUUUCGUGGGGGAUAACGUAGGGAAACUUACGCUAAUACCGCAUACGACCUACGGGUGAAAGCAGGGGAUCUUCGGACCUUGCGCGAUUGAAUGAGCCGAUGUCGGAUUAGCUAGUUGGCGGGGUAAAGGCCCACCAAGGCGACGAUCCGUAGCUGGUCUGAGAGGAGGAUCAGCCACACUGGAAGUGAGACACGGUACAGACUCCUACGGGAGGCAGCGGUGGGGAAUAUUGGACAAUGGGCGCAAGCCUGAUCCAGCCAUACCGCGUGGGUGAAGAAGGCCUUCGGGUUGUAAAGCCCUUUUGUUGGGAAAGAAAAGCAGCAGGUUAAUACCCCGCUGUUCUGACGGUACCCAAAGAAUAAGCACCGGCUAACUUCGUG